UAAUGGUUAGCACUCUGGACUCUGAAUC
rnacentral:piRNA from 5 species